ACGGGAGGCAGCAGUGGGGAAUAUUGCACAAUGGAGGAAACUCUGAUGCAGCAACGCCGCGUGAAGGAUGAAGGUCUUCGGAUCGUAAACUUCUGUCCUUGGGGACGAAACAAAUGACGGUACCCUUGGAGGAAGCCCCGGCUAACUACGUGCCAGCAGCCGCGGUAAUACGUAGGGGGCAAGCGUUAUCCGGAAUUACUGGGCGUAAAGGGUGCGUAGGCGGUUUUGUAAGCGUGGGGUGAAAGGCAUCGGCUCAACUGGUGUUAGCCCCAUGAACUGCAUAACUUGAGUGCGGGAGAGGAGAGUGGAAUUCCUAGUGUAGCAGUGAAAUGCGUAGAUAUUAGGAGGAACACCGGUGGCGAAGGCGACUCUCUGGACCGUAACUGACGCUGAUGCACGAAAGUGUGGGGAGCAAACAGGAUUAGAUACCCUGGUA
rnacentral:rRNA from 1 species